GUCCACGCCCUAAACGAUGUCAACUAGUUGUUCGGUGAGGAGACUCAUUGAGUAACGCAGCUAACGCGUGAAGUUGACCGCCUGGGGAGUACGGCCGCAAGGUUAAAACUCAAAGGAAUUGACGGGGACCCGCACAAGCGGUGGAUGAUGUGGAUUAAUUCGAUGCAACGCGAAAACCUUAACCUACCCUUGACAUGUCAGGAAUCCUUGAGAGAUUGAGGAGUGCCCGAAAGGGAACCUGAACACAGGUGCUGCAUGGCUGUCGU
rnacentral:rRNA from 1 species